AAACAAAAUGAGGCAAGAAAAAAAUAGAGGAGCAGGUGGCGAGCCCCAGAGCUCUGCCGGAAAAUCAUGGAUAGACAUGAGCAAGAGCGAGGAGAGGACUGUCAGACAGAGUUACAGACAAGAGUGUGGAAAAAUGCCAUGUGCCAGAUUUAUUCUGAAACUGCAUGUGUGGCUCGGGAGAGGAUGGAGGAUGAGAAAAGGAGAGCAGUCGGAGGCAUCUUUGGAGUGA
rnacentral:lncRNA from 1 species